rnacentral:rRNA from 1 species
AUGUCUUUCUUUUUCUGGAAUGUUCAGGGCCUUGGGGACCUUGAUAAGUGUGAUCUCGUUCGUAACUCUAUCUCGUCCGUGUCCCCCACUGUGGUGUGCCUCCAAGAAUCCAAGCUCGCGGCUCUUGAUCUGUUCAAAGCUUGGUCCUUCCUCCCCUAUCUCUCUGAGUUUGUCACUAAGGACGCCGAUGGGUCUCGAGGGGGGGUGAUCACGGCUUGGGAUCCCCGUAAGCUGUCCCUUGUCAGUUGCGCUCGGUCGUGUUUUUCUCUUACCACUAAGCUUGCCUCCACGGUCUCCGACCUCUCCUUCUCCCUAACUAACGUCUAUGCCCCGGCUGACCACUCUCUUACUGCGACCUUUGUCGAUGAUAUGCUCUCCUUGUCGCCAGCCAUUGAUGGGGCAAGGCUGAUCGUGGGGGACUUCAAUCUCAUCCGCCUGCCUAGGGAGAAGAACGACGAUCGUUUUGACGCCAGCCGCGCGUCCGCUUUCAACGCCAUGAUCAACGCCUUGGCAUGGCUGGAACUCCCUCUCACUGAUCGCUUGUACACUUGGUCUAAUAAACGUGAUCCUCCCACUCUCGCCCGGCUCGACCGGGCUUUUUUCGACGCAGCCUGGGACUCCCUCUUCCCGGACUCCACGCUUGCUUCUCGCACCAGAAUCACUUCCGACCACGUCCCCCUGGUUGUCUCCGUCUCUACCUGCAUCCCGUCGGCGGGGCGUUUCUUUUUCGAAACCUCCUGGCUGCUGGACCCUCUGUUCCUCCCUGCGGUUUUGCCGUCCUGGUCGCGCGCCCCUAGCUCUCCCUGUGCUGCGACUCGCCUUGCCCGCCAGAAGAAAUGUCUCAGGUCUGCGGCCAAGGUUUGGAAACGACAACACAAGUUCAUUCCUGUUUUUGAUAACAACUGCCAGUUCUUGAUUGACUUGUUAGAUUACCUGGAGGAGCACCGGCGGCUUUCCCUGGCCGAAUCCGAGCUGCGGAGUGAUGCCCGCCUUGCGUUGGCUGGCUCUGUGGCGCGGCAAGCCGCCUACUGGCGACAGCGGGGGAAGUGUCGGGCCGUUGCGGAAGGUGACGAGAACACCAGAUACUUCCAUGCCCGGGCGUCUCAGCGGCAUCGGGGGAACGCCAUCCGGGUGCUUGCGGUCGACGGUGUUGAGCUGGUUGAUCACAGCGCCAAGGAGGCGGCGCUGCGGCGGUUCUACUGCAACCUGCUGGGCCGGGCCCCCCGCACCUCCUAGGGGUUCGACCUGGCGUCCCUGUACGCCGGCGCGCCUACGGUCGACGGUGCGCCGCUGGUGGCGCCCUUCUCCAGGGCGGAGAUCCGCGCCGCGGUCUUUGUGCUUGACCGGACUAGCGCCCCUGGCCCGGACGGGCUUGGCCCCGCCUUCUACCAGGCCGCCUGGUCGGCGGUUUCUGGAGACCUUCAGUGCUUCUUUGACGAGGUGCAUGGCGGCAUCGCGUGCCUCGACGGGAUAAACAGGGCCCUCAUCGCUCUGCUCCCCAAGAAGGAGGGCGUGCCUUCACCUGGCAAUUUUCGCCCCGUCUUUCUUCAGAACGGGGACGUUAAAAUCCUCUAUCCAGGGCUGACUUCGCGCCUCCAGCGUCAGAUCGGCGACCUCAUCGACGUGGACCAGUCCGGCUUCCUGACUGGGCGCAGCAUCUCGGAGAACUUCGUUUAUGCG